rnacentral:rRNA from 1 species
UACAGAGGUGGCAAGCGUUGUUCGGAAUUACUGGGCGUAAAGGGCGCGUAGGCGGCCUUCUAAGUCAGACGUGAAAUCCCCCGGCUUAACCUGGGAACUGCGUCUGAUACUGGAAGGCUUGAGUACGGGAGAGGGAUGUGGAAUUCCAGGUGUAGCGGUGAAAUGCGUAGAUAUCUGGAGGAACACCGGUGGCGAAGGCGGCAUCCUGGACCGACACUGACGCUGAGGCGCGAAAGCUAGGGUAGCAAACGGG